UGCAUAACUAGGCCAAAUUCCCGGGCACCGGGGAGCGGGGGAACCAUUUUUUUGGGUGAAUUGAUCUUGUAACUAGAGAGGUCAUAGGGAACCUUCAAACCGAAUCCUUAAGCUAACCACGCAGGCAUUGGAAGGAGAACAU
rnacentral:sRNA from 2 species